CAGAGGGGUUCAGCACAGGACCAGGACAUAACAGAGGGGUUCAGCACUGGACCAGGACAUAACAGAAGGAGGGGUUCAGCCUGGCGGACUAACAGAGGAGGGUUCAGCAGCACUGACCGGGACAGACAUACAGAGGAGGGUUCAGCUAGACACCAGGACAAUAUGACAGAGAGGGUUUCAAGCUCUGACCAGGACAGAGAACAGGCGAGGGGUUCAGCUAUAGAACAGGACAGACAUAAGCAGAGGAGGGUUCAGCCUCAGAUACAGGAACAGACAUAACAGUAGGAGGGGUCUCAGCACUGAUCAGGACCAGACAUUACAGAGGAGGUGUUCAGCACUGGACCAAAAUGACAAUAGAUCAGAGGGGGUUCCAGCAUGACAGGCAGACAUAAAGAGGAGGGGUUCAGCCACUG
rnacentral:lncRNA from 1 species